GUGCAAGCAGAAACACCUAAUAAGAGUAAAGGCAAAGAGUUCCUGAAUAUAUCACAUGUGGUGAUAAACAUGAAGAUGUAUGAAAAAUUGUGUUCGUUGAGAGAAAAUGGAAGGCUUUUCAUUCUACUUCCACAUUUUCAUUCCAGCAGCUUUUCUGUUUUGGAAGAUGAGUACUGAAUCUUGCAAUGAAAUUUUUUUAACUUAAACAAGGUUCUUAUGCCUUUGUUUGAAAAACAUGGUUCCCUGUGAAAUUUUACAUGUAGAAGAAAGCUUCACACUACGAGAGCUCUCAGGAUAUAAUUAUUUCAGACAGAUACUGGGAACAUAAGAUGGCUUAUCAAUCUAAGAUGGCCUUCCUGUCCUUCGGAUUGAACUGAAACCAUCCCUGAUUCCAGGGAUAGGUAGAUGAUCCAGGUUUGGACAAUCAAAAUAUUGAACCACCCUGGACCUACAAGUGUUUCUGGGAUGGGAACAUGCAAACGUUGGUCCAAAUUGUUGUUCUAGGCAGCCCAGUACAUUUCUCCAAUGCCUGAUGGAAUGAUAGGGUAUGCAUAAAUGUUCAUGUGGGCUCUGGAGUAUACCAGGAACUGAAGUAAGGUACAUGGACGUCUUGAAUAUUGUAACUGAGAUGGGCAAGCCUACACCUUUGCAAAUAAAGGAGGAUUGGGAAAGAUUAAGAUCCUGUUAAACGUCAGUGUUACUAUUUAGCCUUUGAUAUCUCCAGUAAAGGCAACUUCUUUCUGGACCCAGAAAUAAAGCUUUACAUUAGCAGCUUCCAUAACACCAAUAACAUGAAUGACCAUCUACUGAGCAAUUGCAGUGCACCAGGAUUAUGGCUUAUGAGCACUUUAUGUUUAUUAUCUCACAACUCACUGAGUUAGAUACUCUCCACAACCCAGUGAGCCUCUCAAGCACUGUGAAAAAUCACUUUCUCUUGUUGUAUUCUUGGAGCCCCUGCUAAUUCAUUAUUGAAAAAUACCUGCUGCCUGCAUUUGGCCUUAUGUUGUCAUUUACUUGGGUCUGUGCAUGGCGUUUAGAAGGCUACACCUUAGGCUGGGGGUCAAGAAUGUCUUCCCUGAUGUGAGGUUUACACAGAGAUCUGAAGAAUGAAGAGUCCAGCUAAGUACUUCCUAAGCGUGGCUACUCCAAUGAAGCUUUAGUAUAUGUACUGAAAGAAGAUCCUCUCAUACUGCCACAGCCAAGAGAUAAGGUUGUAAAUCUUUAUUGGGAGAAGCCGUCAAGGACAGUUCUGUGAAAUGAAAGGAUCUCUGGAUCACCACAAAGUCUGGCUCAGUGACUAUGGCUUUGCAAACACUAAACAUUCCUGUCUCAAGUCCUGUAGAUGGCUUGAAAUAGUAUACAUAAGCAUGCCUUAUAAACAUCUUCAGUCUUUAUC
rnacentral:lncRNA from 1 species